rnacentral:rRNA from 1 species
UACUAGAGUAGCACUCGCAUAUCAAUAAGCGGAGGAAAAGAAACUAACAAGGAUUCCCCUAGUAACGGCGAGUGAAGCGGGAAGAGCUCAAAUUUGAAAUCUUAAAGGGUUUCCCUUUACGAAUUGUAGUUUAAAGAAGUGUUUUCUGUUGAGGUUUUGGUAAAAGUUCUUUGGAAUAGGACAUCAUAGAGGGUGAGAAUCCCGUAUUUGACCUUUACUUUCAACUUUGUGAUACACUUUCAAAGAGUCGGAUUGUUUGGGAAUGCAGUCCAAAAUGGGUGGUAAAUUUCAUCUAAAGCUAAAUAUUGGCGAGAGACCGAUAGCGAACAAGUACCGUGAGGGAAAGAUGAAAAGAACUUUGAAAAGAGAGUUAAACAGUACGUGAAAUUGUCAAAAGGGAAGCGUUUGACACCAGUGUUGUUUUUCUGAAAAUCAAUUAAAGAACUGUUUAUGCUAAGUUGUUUAGACUUUAUCAGCUAACUGUUUAGUUUUGAGCUUUUCUUUAAUGCACUUUUCAGUUAACAAGUCAACAUCAAUUUCUUUUGCUGUAAAAAAGCUUGAGGAAGGUGGCUUGAGAUUCGUCUUAAGUGUUUAUAGCCUCUUGCCUAUGCAGUCGGAGAGAUUGAGGUCUGCAGCGUAGAUCCUUCGGGGCUAAAUGCAUUUGUGCUAAGUUAUAACAUUUUAUAGACAACUUGUUGACUAUGAUUUGUCUUGUAGCUUACUCGCUUAUGUUAUUUUACCUACGCUUAGGAUGUUGAGUCAUCACACAUCUCU